rnacentral:rRNA from 1 species
UACGUAGGCGGCAAGCGUUGUCCGGAAUUAUUGGGCGUAAAGGGAGCGCAGGCGGGGAAACAAGUCUUUCCUGAAAGUUCGGGGCUCAGCCCCGUGAUGGGAAGGAAACUGUAUCUCUUGAGGGCAGGAGAGGGAAGCGGAAUUCCCGGUGUAGCGGUGAAAUGCGUAGAUAUCGGGAAGAACACCAGUGGCGAAGGCGGCUUUCUGGACUGUGCCUGACGCUGAGGCUCGAAAGCCAGGGGAGC